rnacentral:tRNA from 1 species
GGGAAAGUGGCUCAGCGGUAGAGCACUUGCCUUGUAUGCAUGAGGCCCUGGGUUCGAUUCCCUAGCACCA